AUUGAACGCUGGCGGCAUGCCUUACACAUGCAAGUCGAACGGUAACGGGCCUUCGGGUGCCGACGAGUGGCGAACGGGUGAGUAAUGUAUCGGAACGUACCUUUCAGUGGGGGAUAACGUAGCGAAAGUUACGCUAAUACCGCAUAUUCUGUGAGCAGGAAAGCAGGGGAUCGCAAGACCUUGUGCUGAUUGAGCGGCCGAUAUCAGAUUAGCUAGUUGGUGAGGUAAAGGCUCACCAAGGCGACGAUCUGUAGCGGGUCUGAGAGGAUGAUCCGCACACUGGAACUGAGACACGGUCCAGACUCCUACGGGAGGCAGCAGUGGGGAAUUUUGGACAAUGGGGGCAACCCUGAUCCAGCCAUGCCGCGUGAGUGAAGAAGGCCUUCGGGUUGUAAAGCUCUUUCGGCCGGGAAGAAAUCGUAUCAGCUAAUACCUGGUGCGGAUGACGGUACCGGCAUAAGAAGCACCGGCUAACUACGUGCCAGCAGCCGCCGUAAGAC
rnacentral:rRNA from 1 species